AUUCUUGCUUAGUUACUCUGCUAAUUCUUGUUAGUACCUAAUAAAAAUGUCUUUGUAUAACAAUGGAUUUGUGCCAUCAAAAACUAACCAACAGUUUCUGAAAACAGUAACUGAACAAAGUGUGAUAAUCGAACAACUCCAAAAAAAACUUAGGCAAGCCAAAUUAGAGCUGAGAGUUGCUGUAGCAAAAGUGGAAGAGUUAACUAAUGUGACUGAAGAUCUGCAGGGACAGAUGAAAAAGAAGGAGAAGGAUGUGGUGUCUGCCCAUGGAAGAGAGGAAGCAUCAGAUAGGCGUUUACAGCAGUUACAGUCUAGUAUAAAACAAUUAGAAAUAAGAUUAUGUGUGACAAUCCAAGAAGCCAACCAAUUAAGAACCGAAAAUACACAUCUGGAAAAACAGACCAGAGAGCUACAAGCAAAGUGCAAUGAAUUAGAAAAUGAGAGAUAUGAGGCUAUUGUAAGAGCCAGAAAUAGCAUGCAACUCUUAGAAGAAGCUAACCUUCAAAAAAGUCAGGCUCUACUUGAGGAGAAGCAAAAAGAAGAAGACAUAGAGAAAAUGAAAGAGACAGUUUCUCGGUUUGUACAAGAUGCUACCAUAAGAACCAAGAAAGAAGUUGCAAACACCAAAAAACAAUGUAAUAUACAAAUUUCUCGAUUAACAGAAGAACUUUCAGCCCUUCAAAUGAGAAUGCACAGGAUGCUAUUGCUAGCUGUAGCUCCUAUCAUAUGCUGAGUUUAUCUGGGAAACCAAGGAGAAAGAGAAAGUAUAUAUAACAGUGGGAAGGAAGAAAUACAGAAAGCUUCCUGAAAGAAAUGAAUACUGAGGAAUGAGUAGGCCAAGAGGGGAGAGGAAAAGAAUACUUGUGUGGCUAGAGGAGUGUGCUGAAAAACAAGGCCAAAUUGAACGAGUCAUUAAGGAAAAAAAAGCAGUGGAAGAAGAACUAGAAAAGAUUUACCGUGAAGGCAGAGGAAAUGAGAGUGAUUACAGAAAACUGGAAGAAAUGCACCAAAGAUUCCUGGUUUCAGAGCGUUCAAAAGAUGAUCUUCAGCUAAGACUUACGAGAGCAGAAAAUAGAAUAAAACAACUUGAAACUGACUCCUCAGAAGAAAUAUCACGUUACCAAGAAAUGAUUCAGAAACUUCAAAAUGUAUUGGAGUCUGAGAGAGAGAACUGUGGGCUUGUCAGUGAACAAAGGCUAAAACUUCAGCAAGAAAAUAAACAGUUACGGAAAGAGACUGAGAGUUUAAGGAAGAUUGCCCUGGAGGCUCAAAAAAAAGCCAAAGUAAAGAUCAGUACAAUGGAACAUGAAUUUUCAAUAAAGGAACGUGGAUUUGAAGUUCAAUUGAGAGAGAUGGAAGACAGUAAUAGAAAUUCCAUUGUUGAACUGAGGCAUCUCCUAGCGACUCAACAGAAGGCAGCCAAUAGGUGGAAAGAAGAAACGAAGAAACUUACUGAAAGUGCAGAAAUUAGAAUCAAUAAUCUAAAGAGUGAGCUGAGUCGACAGAAACUUCAUACCCAAGAGCUGCUUUCUCAGCUGGAAAUGGCAAAUGAAAAGGUAGCUGAGAAUGAAAAGCUAAUUCUAGAGCAUCAAGAAAAAGCCAACAGACUUCAAAGGCGUCUAAGUCAGGCAGAAGAGAGAGCUGCUUCAGCUUCCCAGCAGCUCAGUGUGAUUACAGUGCAGAGAAGAAAAGCAGCCUCCCUGAUGAAUCUGGAAAAUAUUUAAAAAUAUUCAUAGUUCACUCACAGAACUUUAGAGUUGGGAAAGCAGUUGGACUAGAAGUGUAUUGAAAUGGUAAAGCCUGCAAAGUAU
rnacentral:sRNA from 1 species